CCAGAACACCCGAGGAUGGACGUGCCUGCCGAGCCGGAGGCGUGUGGGGAACAAGAAGCCAUCGCCGCUCGUCUUGCUCCCGACGACAACCUGCCCGCCAUAACGUUAAUUAAAAGCAUAUCCUUCGUGUGGUCAGACGUGCUCGGCUCCUUAUUCCAGAAGCUUCUACGGGGGAGGGGAGCACCCACUGCGGAGCCUUUGCCGCAGCGCCCGGCAGGCGUGGUCCCUGCCGGAGGAGGAGGAGGAUGAAGAUGAUGAUGAGAAGGAUGCACCACUUCUCCCUGGCACCUCUUCCCCCUCGCUAGAUUUCCCCAUCCAUGACAAGGGUGCAGGGAGGUGUUUGCGAGGGUUUGUUUCUUUUCUUUUUUUUUUUCUUUUUCUUUCACAUAAAUUUGGUUUCUAGUUUGUUUUUUCCCUUCCCCCUUUGCUAAAUGAAUUAAAAGCAGGGCUGUCUCCUGAUGGAGAUGGAUGGGGCUGGCUCACCGCAAUGGGGUUGCUGCUCGCUUCAUCGGGCGCAGCGAGGGCAUCGAUGGCAGAAGUGACCUUUCCCAGGCGGUGGGAGGGCGGCAGACACCCCCCUGCCCCGCCAUGCUCCUGCUUGGAAUUCAUUUCAGAUAGCAGGGUCGUUAUUUUUCGGUUUCUCCUCCUUUCCCCUUAAAGAACAGCUGUUUCACUGAUGAUUGUUUUUUUUCCUUGAAGCUUCCUCAUGAUCGUGGGGGGAUUUUUUUUGUGUGUUUUCAAUUGCGUUUUUAAAUUGCCCAGCUGGAGACAAGUCUUGAUUAGAGUUGGAACAACAGCUCCAUUUUAUUAAUAAUGGGGAGGAUUUACAAUCCUACAGCACCUUCCUUGGAAGGCUUUCAAAACCAUUUGCAAACACUCCCGAAUUGUAAGAUUCCACAGCCCUUGGCUGUGAGGUGGGUAAGUAUUUAACGGUACCACCACCAGGAAUCACUCUGGUGGCAAAUCUCUGCUUCUGAGUGCUUAAAAAGAGGACAGAUUCGGUGGGGUUUAGGGCUGCAGAGCCGAAGGGGGGUGGUGGGGGUGAGUGGGGCUGGCUAAAAGCUGUAACCCAGAUCUGUUCAGUGUUCUCUCUAGAUGCGGAUUGUUUUGCUGGGAACUGGGCUGGGAUUUCUCCGCCUGCUCCGUGCAGGCAGCUCUGCAGCUUGCCAGGGCGAAGCUGUGGACCUGCCUGCUCGUCAGUAAACAUCUGCUUACAGAUUGUUCCCUCCCCUCCCCCGUUUUAUAUUGUUUUAGUUCAUUACCUUUUUGCAGUCCCCAGGUGACCUCCUUCGGUGCUGGCUCUGCUGUGGUUUGACCACAGCUCUGCAUUAAAGCUGGCCGCUAGUGCUAAUGCGCCCUGAGAGCCAGAGCAACCUUGCAUGGGGGACUGGCCCCCACCGAGCUAAUGCAGAUGCUCUGUUUCCAUGACAGAACCCUGCACACCACUUUUUCUCCUGCACAUCCCUUCUCUGACCCAGGUAGAGCAGGGGGACGUGGCAACAUUAUGGGUGGAAGCUUGUCUUAUGCCUUAUUUUUUCCCCUUUUUUCUUCCUUUCCAGGGGAACACGGGACUGUUUGUGUAACCCCUCUCCACACCUUUGUAAGUAUUACAACCACGCAGUGAUCUCAGAGCCUCCUGGGCAGUGGGAGCUGGCCUUGCGGAGGAGCGAAAAGCAUGGUGCUCUGGUUGUGUAAGUGUGUGUUGUACACGGGCCACAGAAACCCACAAUGUUUCUGUGGUUACUUCUGUCUGGAUAGCACGAGUAGGUCCCAGGGCUUCCCCUUCCCACUGCUUACUAAUUCACAAAAGCAAAGGCUUUGUGGAAAAAAAGCUCUGCCCUGUGGCCUUCACCAAAAAUAAAUAAAUAAAGUGCUGUGGAUUAGUCAUCCUCAUUGUUAGAGGAA